UUCUGCUUACAGAGAAGCCAGAGCGAAGCCAGAGCAGCUGCCGGUGCUGCACAGGCAGUGUAAAGGUGGAGGUCCUUUAAAUCCCACAACCCUGAACAGCAAAUCUGAGCAAGGCAGCACAGACCUGAGCGCAGACUUCAGUGCUAUCACAAACCACUGCACGUUCCCACGGGGCAGAAGGUAGAGGGGGUCACCCAGUCAAGCAACCAGAGACACAGCGAGUCAGCCUCAAACCCUGCAGUCCAUCAAGCAAACUGCUGCUGGACCUGUCUGGAGCAGAGACCCUUUUCUGUGCUCCUCUCCCCCCACCAACACCACUUUUGUCUCUGUCGCACCCUCAGCCAUCAGCCUCCUACCAGUCUCCUCCCCAGUUCCAUCUUCUCCACUUCUCCAUUCGGUGCUGCCUGAAUGGAACUGAAUUGAGGCCCCCACUGUAAUUUUGCCUCACAGUCAGUCUUACUCUUCACAGGCAGCCACAACUGACAACAUUUGGCUCCAUAACCGCUCCUUCUGACAAAUUCUCUCUUGCAAAGACAAAAGUUUCAGAAAUGAUUUGGCAUCUCAGCAGGCAGCCACCAGAGAGCUCAGGCAAAUGGAGACCUCUGACCUGACAAACACAGAAAGGGCUCUCAAAAGGCACAGCCCUGGCCCCAGGAGCACCCCUUAGGAGCUAGAGCUCCUCAUCUAGGAUAUGGUGAGCUCUGGUGCCUUCCAUAUACCAGAGCCAUCUGACACCUUUUUAAUCACGAAUAAGGCAAUAUACUUUUCCCUAGUUAUGCUUUGGAAGAACACAAUUGUAUUUUUGUAGAUUUUUCAGAAGUAGUUUGAUCCACAGCAACCUUCAGAAUGGAAAAUUUCACCCAAGUUGUUAAAGUUUUGAAGAACUUUAUCCUCUUAAAAUUGCAGUUUGAAACUCAGAAAUGCUAUCUUUGCCUCCCAGCAGCUCCUCCUAUGUAAUAAUAAAGCCAUCCCACCUUAACUUGUCAGGCAAUCACAGGGUUUUCCAUUUUGAUUUCUUGACAAAGUUUCAAAAAUAGAAAUUUUCCAGAAAAAUGGAAGCAUUAAAAAUGCCAGACUACAGACCAAUACAAAUAUAAGGCUUGAGUUCAUCAAACAAAUUAAGGUUUUGACAGCAAUGUAAAAAAGAAGGAACAUGGUCAUUCCACUGAACUGUUUCAGUGGAAGCACACAACCAGCCUCUGCUUCCCACCUAGUGAGGAAAAGGCUCCGGUGACACCAUCUCCAUUCCCUACCAUUACAAAAGCCUUGAACGCAACACACCCUGCAUGCCCUCGGAAUGUGCAGAACUGCCAGCACCGCCACACGUGUGCCAUCUGCCUCCAGACAUAGGAAAUAAUCCUACUACAAACCGGAGCUGAUUUCACCAGGAGCUCCAUCAUGUGAUGUUAGAGACAAAAUAUCUGUGCACUCAAACAAAGCUGGAAAUUUCAUCAAUUUGGCAAAUAAACAAAAUACCUGUA